CGUGAACGCAGUAGCAUACUGAGUGGUAGACGGGUGAGUAUAAUGUGGGAAUCUGCCUUUUGGUUUGGAACAACACGAGGAAACUUGUGCUAAUACUGGAUAAGUCUUUACGGAGAAAGCUUUAUGCACCAUUGGAUGAGCCUGCACUUGAUUAGUUUGUUGGUGGGGUAAUGGCCUACCAAGACUGUGAUCAAUAGCUGAUUUGAGAGGAUGAUCAGCCACAUUGGGACUGAGACACGGCCCAAACUCCUACGGGAGGCAGCAGUGGGGAAUCUUGCACAAUGGAGGAAACUCUGAUGCAGCGAUGCCGCGUGAGUGAAGAAGGCCCUUGGGUUGUAAAGCUCUUUCGUCGGGGAAGAAAAUGACUGUACCCGAAUAAGAAGGUCCGGCUAACUUCGUGCCAGCAGCCGCGGUAAUACGAAGGGACCUAGCGUAGUUCGGAAUUACUGGGCUUAAAGAGUUCGUAGGUGGUUGAAAAAGUUGGUGGUGAAAUCCCAGAGCUUAACUCUGGAACUGCCAUCAAAACUUUUCAGCUAGAGUAUGAUAGAGGAAAGCAGAAUUUCUAGUGUAGAGGUGAAAUUCGUAGAUAUUAGAAAGAAUACCAAUUGCGAAGGCAGCUUUCUGGAUCAUUACUGACACUGAGGAACGAAAGCAUGGGUAGCGAAGAGGAUUAGAUCCCUCGUAGUCAUGCCGUAACGAUGGUGUAGACGUGGAAUUAUUUCUGUGUGAGG
rnacentral:rRNA from 1 species